ensembl:lncRNA
UAUCACAUUUUCUGUAUUAUUCCAGAUUUUUUCAUAAAGAGAUUUUCUCACCACUGAGUUAAAAAGGAUUUACUUUUUAUGCUCAGAUCUUCAAUCAAAUGGCAUUCACUAUGGAUUAUGGUACACAGUGCCUUUCAAUUAUGUACAUUCUCUGCUGAACGAGAAAAAUAUGCAGCCAGAAUCCUUUAUCCAGCAAGGCUGUCAUUCAGAAUAGAAGGAGAGAUAAAGGCUUUCCCAGACAAAAACUGAAGGAGUUCAUGACCACUAAACCAGCCAUGCAAGAGAUCCUGAGGGGGAUUCUGUGAGUGAAACACUGCAAAGACUACAAAGGACCAGAGACAUCACCACAAGCAUGAAACCUACAGAUAACACAAUGACUCUAAAUCCAUAUCUUUCAAUAAUAACACUGAAUGUAAAUGGACUAAAUGCUCCAAUCAAAAGAUGUAGGGUAUCAGAAUGGAUUUAAAAAAAAAAAAAAAAAGAUCCUUCUAUAUGCUAUUUACAAAAGACCCAUUUUAGACCUGAGGACACCUUCAGAUUCAAAGUGAGGCAAUCGAGAACAAUCUGUCAUGCUACUGGAAGUCCAACUGUGUAUACUCUCUGUAAAACUUUGUCACUUAAUCAAAUUUCCAUGCAUCCUACUCCUUACCUCUUUUGUUAGAAAUCCUAUUCUCUCAGCUUGGAUGAUGCAUGCUAACGUUCAGUGUGUAUUACUUUAAGGAAAUAAUUCCCUAAAGGGUGAAUGGCCAAUUUAAAACUUCCAGGAAGGUCUCCAUUUAUUAAAUGGGGAAUGAAGUAAUUCAAGUAAACCAUAAUUAACAGAAGGUACGGAGACUAUCAAUCUAAGAAGGCCUCUUGUACAUCCUCUUGCUUUCCAUGCCUUUCUCAUCUCCCAUCUCCCACCUCCCACCCUGGCAAUGUCCUAAACUAAAGAACGAGAAAGAGCACUCUGUCAUUUUAAUUGAGAGAUAUGCCACCAGUUAGCUAUUUACUCAAUGCUCCCUCAAAGAUACAUUUUCCGGCUCCAGGAGGUGGAAGCGGCAAGAUGGCGGCUUAGGAGGACUCUGGGCUCACCGCGCGUCCUGCUGAUCACUUAGAUUCCACCUACACCUGCCUAAAUAACCCAGAAA